CCGGACCUGACUGCUAUCGGAUUGGUACUAAGCCAUGCGAGUCAUUGUAGCAAUACAAGGCGGACGGCUCAGUAACACGUAGUCAACCUAACUCGUGGACGUGGAUAACCUCGGGAAACUGAGAAUAAACCACGAUAGAUCAUAGUGCCUGGAAUGGCUUAUGGUCCAAACAGUUUACUGCCAUGGGAUGGGACUGCGGCCUAUCAGCUUGUUGGUGAGGUAAUGGCCCACCAAGGCGAUUACAGGUACGGGCUCUGAGAGGAGAAGCCCGGAGAUGGGUACUGAGACACGGACCCAGGCCCUAUGGGGCGCAGCAGGCGAGAAACCUUAGCAAUGUGCGAAAGCACGACUGGGUCAGUCCGAGUGAUUCCUGAUAAAGGAGUCUUUUGCCUGUCCUAAAAACACAGGUGAAUAAGGGGUGGGCAAGUCUGGUGUCAGCCGCCGCGGUAAUACCAGCACCUCGAGUGGUCAGGACGUUUAUUGGGCCUAAAGCAUCCGUAGCCGGCUUUGCAAGUCUCCGGUUAAAUCCACCUGCUCAACAGAUGGGCCGCUGGAGAUACUACAGAGAUAGGGAGUGGGAGAGGCAGACGGUAUUCAGUGGGUAGGGGUAAAAUCCUCUGAUCCAUUGAGGACCACCAGUGGCGAAGGCGGUCUGCCAGAACACGUUCGACGGUGAGGGAUGAAAGCUGGGGGAGCAAACCGGAUUAGAUACCCGGGUAGUCCCAGCUGUAAACGAUGCAAACUCGGUGAUGCAUUGGCUUAUGGCCAAUGCAGUGCCGCAGGAAGCCGUUAAGUUUGCCGCCUGGAAGUACGACGCAAGUCUGANCUUAAAGGAAUUG
rnacentral:rRNA from 1 species